rnacentral:lncRNA from 1 species
AACUUAUAACAACAUCGUAUAGUUCAACUUAUCAUCUAGUUCAGAGACGAAAGUGGGUUAAUGAAAAACAUAUAGCAUCCUAUGUUUACAUUGCGCUGAUGUAGGAGGAGCUGCACAUCACCUUACACACCAGAAUGAGACAUCCUGGAAGAAACAAUGACCAUCGCAACAUGCAAGCAAUUGAUUAAGCAGAAAACCUGAAGUCAUCUACUCCAUCCAUUCGCAGUCCAAGAAGAGGCUUCAAGAAUUUGUUUUGGGAUCACAAUGCAAGCCUUCAAUAAUUUGAAUCAUCAAUGGGACCAGUCCCUGUUAAGACAUCGCUUAUAAGAAACAACAGAACUAAUAGAAUCAACCAGCUUAAGGGAAGAAGCACUAAAAAAUAUAGUCCAAGUAUUGCCUUAGAAUAUUCAGAUGGUUUUUACCACACCCAAAUAUGAGAAAAAGUGACACUCACAUUGCUCCUUCAAGUCGAAACUGCAUUCAUGAAUUUUGAUACUAUGAUCUGCACAUAAGUAGGCAUCGAUUAUGCUAUUCAUGUACUUUUAAAUAAUUUUUGAGCUUUUAAAUGUCAAACAAAGGAAACUGUGCAACAAAGGAAACUGUAAGACCAAUUUUUUUACAGUUAAAAUAUCAGUUUGACAUACAAGAUUUAGAGGUGUGCAAGGAAGGAAACAUAGAAAAUAACAUGCAUAUGGCAUACAAAACAUGGCAAGUGAAAACAACAACAGAUUGGGCAUUUGAUGGAAUAAGCAAUACCUGAGCCGGAGAGGUAUACAGAGGGGGAGG